AUAUAUAUAUAUAUAUAUAUAUAUAUAUAUAUAUAUAUAUAUAUAUAUAUAUAUAUACAGUCGUGGUUGGAUGAGGAUAACUAUCAGAUGUGAAAUCACACACAUGAAACACGUAUGAUCAGAUUUAGGGUGGACAUCAUCUCUGGUGUCCAUCAGUGUAAACCUCUAGAAGACCGAAUCGGAGACGUUCGUCUGAUGGGGGACGUUCACAUAAUUUAUCUCAGUAAUCAACUGUUACUUCAUUAUAUAUAUAUAUGUAUAUAUAUAUAUAUAUAUAUAUAUAUAUAUAUAUAUAUAUAUAUAUAUAUAUAUAUAUAUAUAUAUAUAUAUAUAUAUAUAUACUGAUCACUGAUGCAACAUAAAGGGGACCAACACAGCAAGGGGUCAUAAUAUGCCUGAUCAGUGUAUGUGUGUGUUUACUGAAGGGGUGAAAAAUGUUAUGAUUUUGGUGGUGUUUUGCAAAGACAUCUGUUCAUGGGACUAGAUUUGUUUAAGGCAUUACUCUUGUAUUGUUUCUGUGGUUUCUCGCAGUAACCUGACUGACUGGACAAACAGCAGAAAGAUGCUGUGUCUGGAGGCCAGAAGCAUGUGCUGUGAACGAGUCAAACACUGAAAAAAUGAUCAUGAAAAAAGCAGUUUAUAAUAGUUGCCCCAUGUGAGCACACCCUAAAAAGAACAAGUGAACAAAAUGUCUAUUGAACUGUAUAUUCUGUGAAUAAAGUCAUUUGUUAUCUAACAGAAACCAAAAAAUACACUGUAUAAAAAAAGAAAAUUUCACCACUAACAUUACACUUUUUAAUGAAUGAACAAGAACACUGUGAUGUACAUUUCUGAUUACUUCACCAUGGUUUAUUGUUCUGGCUUUGCUCUGUAUUCUGCAGAUUUUUUCAUUCUAUAUUUAAAUGGAGUGGGCCAGAUUUAAGAGCCUAUUUGGUUGUUGUUUGGAUUUCUUUUUCAAAGGAGCAAAAACCAACAUUUGUUCAAAAGUGUUCAUGUUUCUUUUGAAUUAAUGUCACAGUAUUCAUUCCAAUUCAAUAAAAAGCCAUAUGUUUUCAAGAAAAAAAAACUCUGAUUUGAAUUCCACUGAAAUAUUGAAA
ensembl:lncRNA